rnacentral:lncRNA from 1 species
AUGUGGACAUUUACAUUCUUUGUGUUCCUGUAUGCUGUGGGCUUUGCUUCAUGGAAGUUAAAUGCCAAACGACCCUGCUGGCGUUGCUCUAAGUGCCUCAGAGUGUUACCAAGUACUGCUGCUGGGCUUUCAUCGAGUAUUUUGUCUGCACUUACUCUGCUGUCUUGGCUUCUUGGAGCAGAACAAGUGUAUAUGGGAACAUGUGGAACAGUGAUUUACAUUAAUUACUCCCUAAGUGACUGGUUUCCCUAGGAAGCUCUCCCGCUGUGAGAUGUACAUAGAUGCACAUGACACUCAUAGCAAUGCUGCCGUGCUCUUUGAAGAUUUCAUGCUUCCUGUGCCACAGUCAGAUUUGUCACGUUGGAGGGUAUCAGCAUCUCAGAAGCUGCUACGCUGGAAAGACAAACAACAUAUGCUAGAAACGCAAACACGUGUUGUUACAUUUAUUACGAGAACUGCUGAUGAAAAUUAAAUACAGAAUGGUCCUUUACACAUUGUGAAUGUGACCAUAUUUAUGCACAGUAAGAGAAAGUGUGAUAUCACCACUUUGUUGAUUAGUACAGAGGAGAGAGAAGUUAGUAAACAACAAAAAACUUGUCAUUUUCCAGGGUCAGACUAAAACUCAAUAUUUUAUUUUGGUUUUGAAGGGAGAAAGAAAAAAAAAUAAUGUAAUCUAAGUAAAGAAAUUAAAAGCUUAAAUGGUAAAAACACCAUGGUUGUAUUGCGAGCAUUGCAUGUAUGCACCAGUAUAGAUAUUUAGAGAUGCAUGGUCCUGUGAAAUACAGAUGUGAAAUAAUUGAUCCUAUGCCUUUCUAAGUGUUAAAAAUGCAAAACUCUCCAGGAGGACUUGUUAUAGCAUAAAAACGAUCUCCUCCCAGGACCAGUUCAGGUGGGUGGCAGCCCCCGUGCUCAGCAUUGUGUGCCAUGCUCUCACCACAAAGGCUCCUGCUUUGAUACAUGUGUGGAGGCUAUUGCUUACACCCAGUUAGUAUUUGUCCUGGAUUUUCUCUGGUUCUUUGCUUUGAUGGUGGUUUUGAACACUUGCUGCAUGUUCCAUGCACAGGGACGAUGUGCAGGCAGUGCCCAGCCAGGGCACCGCGGGAGAUGGCACCGUGACACUAGUGGCUGGUGUCCCUGAC